rnacentral:rRNA from 1 species
UACGUAGGUGGCAAGCGUUGUCCGGAUUUACUGGGCGUAAAGGGCGUGCAGGCGGUUUGUUAAGUGCAGGGUGAAAGCUCCCGGCUCAACUGGGAGAGGUCCUUGCAUACUGGCGAACUCGAGGGAGGCAGAGGAAAGUGGAAUUCCCGGUGUAGUGGUGAUAUGCGUAGAUAUCGGGAGGAACACCUGUGGCGAAGGCGGCUUUCUGGGCCUUACCUGACGCUGAGGAGCGAAAGCGUGGGUAGCGAACAGG